rnacentral:rRNA from 1 species
AUUUUGCGCAAUGGGCGAAAGCCUGACGCAGCAACGCCGCGUGGAGGAUGAAGGCCUUCGGGUCGUAAACUCCUGUCGACGGGGAAGAAAGCCGAAAGGUUUGACUGUACCCGUUGAGGAAGCCACGGCUAACUCCGUGCCAGCAGCCGCGGUAAUACGGAGGUGGCAAGCGUUGUUCGGAAUUACUGGGCGUAAAGGGCGCGUAGGCGGCAUGGCAAGUCAGAUGUGAAAGCCCCGGGCUUAACCUGGGAACUGCAUCUGAAACUGUUGUGCUUGAGUUCUGGAGGGGGUAGUGGAAUUCCCAGUGUAGCGGUGAAAUGCGUAGAUAUUGGGAGGAACACCUGCGGCGAAGGCGGCUACCUGGACAGAUACUGACGCUGAGGCGCGAAAGCUAGGGGAGCAAACGGG